rnacentral:rRNA from 1 species
AAAGAUUAAGCCAUGCAUGUCUAAGUAUAAGCAACUAUACAGUGAAACUGCGAAUGGCUCAUUAAAUCAGUUAUCGUUUAUUUGAUAAUACCUUACUACUUGGAUAACCGUGGUAAUUCUAGAGCUAAUACAUGCUAAAAAUCCCGACCUCUGGAAGGGAUGUAUUUAUUAGAUAAAAAACCAAUGUCUUCGGACUCCUUGGUGAUUCAUGAUAACUUAACGAAUCGCAUGGCCUUGCGCCGGCGAUGGUUCAUUCAAAUUUCUGCCCUAUCAACUUUCGAUGGUAGGAUAGUGGCCUACCAUGGUUUCAACGGGUAACGGGGAAUUAGGGUUCUAUUCCGGAGAGGGAGCCUGAGAAACGGCUACCACAUCCAAGGAAGGCAGCAGGCGCGCAAAUUACCCAAUCCCAAUUCGGGGAGGUAGUGACAAUAAAUACUGAUACAGGGCUCUUUUGGGUCUUGUAAUUGGAAUGAGUACAAUUUAAAUCCCUUAACGAGGAACAAUUGGAGG